rnacentral:misc_RNA from 1 species
AGUCGAUCAGCUGUUCUAUCAUUAAUUUUAGCCUAUUUUUGCCAUGAAUUGCGAGGAUGCUUCUUGCUAUAUUAGUGAGCUUGUGCUAUUUUUGUUGUUGUGCUGAGUUUGUUGAUAACCAAGGUAGUGCCUCUGCUAUGCGCUUUGCCUUGCGCCUCUUGUUGAAAUUCAUUGCUUGGCCUUUGUAUUUGGGAGCUUCAUUUUUGAUAUUGUUACUUGAGACCUCUGCACUUCAAUUCUGUUUGGCAUAGUCUUUAAUUCG